rnacentral:rRNA from 2 species
AGCAUAGCGAUUUGGGAUAAGUCCCUUGGAAAAGGGCAGCAUGGAGGGUGAUACUCCCGUCUCUGCUCGGAUUGUCUGUGUGUACGAUACGCUUUCUUUGAGUCGAGUUGUUUGGGAAUACAGCUCAAAGUAGGUGGUAAAUUCCAUCUAAAGCUAAAUAUUGGUGCGAGACCGAUAGCGAACAAGUACCGUGAGGGAAAGAUGAAAAGAACUUCGAAAAGAGAGUUAAAGAGUACCUGAAACUGUUGAAAGGGAACCGUAUCGUUUCCAGUGUUUUAUCCUGUGCAUAUUUCAUUAGCGGAGCAAUUUGCUGGUGCCCUGUGCAUGGGUGUGACGUCAGAGUCAGUUUGUAUGCUGCGGGAGAUGGUCAGUGAGGAGGUGCGUCACUUCGGUGAAAGUUAUAUCUCGCUGUCUAGUAGCCGUGGUUGAGACUGAGGUGCC